CCAUUGUUACACCUACUGUCACAUGUCACUGGUGGCAGAGAGGUGUCACAGGGGACAGCCUGCUGUGAGCACCUACGGGUGGAACAAGCCUGUCACCCUAAAGGUGUCUGGAAUGGGGAGGAGCUGUUCAGCCCCUCCUGCACAUCCUCUCCUCCUCUCUGGCUGCACAAGGAGAAUUUCCCUGCAUGACAUUACCACCCUGAGUGCAGACACACUGAACAGAGGAAGGACAAUUCUAGCUCGGAGCUGAGGCAGGACCUGGCGUCAAGCCAUAGGAUGAGAAGAGGAGAAACUGUGAGGAAGAAGGCCCAGCAGUAAAUAAAGCACAAGUGAACUGCUCUCUCAUGCUUUUAUAGCCACAGUCUCAAACUCCUGCAUGUCCCUGAUGUGAAAGAGCUUUGUCUCAGGACACGUGACACAGCAUUCCCAGGACAUCGAGCCAGAAAAAGGGGCACUUUCUAGGGGGGCUCCAUAAGGCAGCAUCCCACUGCACACCUCACACAGCUGCUGUAGCCUCUGGCAUGUGGGCCAUGGGCAUGCAGCAUGCAGGCACCAUGGCUCUGUGCUGAGGGGCUCGACACCAUUCUGGGGCAAGA